rnacentral:lncRNA from 1 species
CACUUUAUUGCCAUUCCUUGUGCAUUGUACUGUUGUGUUGCAGAUAAUUUUUUCCUACCAUAUUGUGAUUUUUUUAGUUAAUCUCAUUUAGAUGCCUCCUGAUUUCUGCUUAUGAUAGUUUCCCUUCUUAUAUAUACUUAAAGUUAUAUAAUAUUCUUUCAACUAUUUUUUUAAUAUCCACAAUAUUUUUUUAUACUUUCCAUCUUUAGUUCAUC